UCACAUGCAAUAGAUAUCAUAGAUUUACUCACAUCUUUACCACAUUCAUACUAUAAUCAUUAUAAACUCAUCACAUAAUACCAUAGCACAUGCAUGCAUAAUUAAAAUAGAUUUACAACCCCAUAAUCAAAAUAGGCCAACACAUAUGGUUAAAUCCAUAUCACAUACUCUAAUAUUUAAACUCCUAUACAUGCCAUAGGCUCAAAGUACUUGAAAUCACUACACCAAUAGCGUUAGCUUGACAGUGUGAUAAUAUCUCUGACAGCCUCCAACCUGAGCUAACCUGAAAACUCUAGAAAACAUGGGAAAAAAGAGGGGGGUAAGCUUUCGCUUAGUAAGUUCAUAUAAAAACCAUAAGCAACUCAUUAACUUGUUUUAUCAAUGUUUACAACAUAUUCUCAAGUUCACUACAAGCUGUCUUUCUGAGCAAUGGUCACUAAAUUAUUUAUAUCUGGAGCUACAAAACUCCGAAUUAAGUUCCGUUAAUUUUCCCUAAAACUAGACUUAUUUUCCUUUCUUCCAUAAAAUUUCCAUAAUUUUUGGUUAAGCCAAAUAGUACAGUUUAUUCCUCAAAGUUACCCUUGAUUCACUGUCUGACAGUUCCGACCCUUCUGUACUAAAGUUCGAUUAUCUCAUAGUACAAGAUCGAAUAAUGUUCUUGUCUAUUUCUAUUGAAACUAGACUCAUAUGUUUACUUACUAAUUUUUUUCUAAAAUUUUUGGUUGGGCCAAUUAGUACAGUUUAUUAGUUAAAGUCUCCCCAGUUUCAGGGUAUGACCACUCUGAUCCCUGUGCACUACAAACCGAAUUUCUCCCUGUACAGAAUUCCAACGACCAUUCCGUUUAUUUCCCCUAAAAAUAGACUCAAUAAGGAAUCCAUGCAUGUAAGGUAUGACUCUUAAUAAUUUUUUUAAAAUUUUUGGUGAAUUUCUAAAGUCUGAAUAGGGGAUCUCGAAGUCAUUCAGACCCUGUUUCACAAGAAUUAAAAUAUCAAACAAUAUGGAAUUCUUUUUCUUCCCCUGUUUCUUUCAUGUGAAAAUAGACUCAUUAAUCUUUAAUCCCGUAUUUUAUUCUGCCUCUAACUCAUUUUCCACUAUUUUUAGUGUAUUUUCAAAGUUACACUACUGCAGUAACUCAAAUCUGUCAAGGCUAAAUUACUCAUUCAUGAUCAUUGUUCACAAAAUUAAUACAACAUCAUUUGUAUAAUCAUCACCGAGACAUUCAUAUCACAUUUUCAUUUACCAUCUUACCAUUUUGUUGUUAUGUCGAGUUUUCAACCCGAGGGUUAAGUACAUACCUGUUCAAAGUAUCCAUUUCACAACAUUUAUCAAUACGUCCCUUUCAUCUCGAGUAUUCCUCCAUUUGAGUAGAACUUUACCCAUUGAAUACAUCGGAAUAUAAUUCGGAUACAUGGAAAGUUUGCACAUAAGUGCCACAUAUGUAGCUAAGCUACCAUGUAACCCGCCCAUAAGUGAACUCGGACUCAACUCAACGAGCUCGGGCGUUCGCAUCCAUAAGUGAACUCGGACUCAACUCAACGAGCUCGGAUGCCUAGUUACAUCUCACGAACUCGGACUCAACUCAACGAGUUCAAACAUUCGCAUCCAUAAGUGAACUCGGACUCAACUCAACGAGCUCGGAUGCCCAAAUAUUCCAAUGACAUGUCACUUGUAUCCUAAUCUAUUCCUAAGGUUCAACGGGACCUUUUUCCCAAUCAUGAGUCUCAACCAUCUUCUACGGAAUGCCGAUACCAAUACUUGGUAGUAUUUCACAUUUUCCAAGUAUAUCAUAUAAUUUGACAUAUUAUCAAACAAUUAUCACAAGUAUAAUAUCUCAUAAUAAUUAUCAUAUCAUUUAAAUAACAUCAAAACAUUUAAAAUAAUAACUAUGUUACCAACAUUUACAUAUGAACCUACCUCGAUACCACAAAGGUGAAAAAAAAAGACGUAAUUAUCCCUUAAUCGAUUUCUUUCCGUUCUAGGUCCAAAUCUCGAUUUUCAUCAUCUAAAAUAUCACAUUCAACUUAUUAAAACAAUUUACUGAUCAAAUUAGUCCAUUGACACACUUGAGCAAUUUUUACAAUUUUGCCCCUAUAUUUUGCCAAAAUUACCAAAUUACCCCUAGGCUCGUAAAAUAAUUUUUAUCACAUUUCUUUACUCCUUGAGUCUAGAUGAACCAUUUUCAUAACUAUAGCAACUCAUAAUUUCAACUAUUUCACACAUUUACAACUCAUUUUACAACUUAGCAAUCUAGCCCUUUUUAAGGUGUUUUCAUGCAAUUUCUUUCACAAAAGUUGUUUAUUAGACAACUAGGACUCAUAAUCUUCCAUAAAAACACAGCAAACAACACAUUUACUCUAUUGGAAAAACCCUAGACUCUUCAUCAUUUUGCAAAAUAGACCCCUCAUAUGAAAGCUCAUGCUUUAGGGGUUCCAAAAAUGUAAAAAUCAUCAAGAAAGACAUUAAAAAUCACUUACUAGCAAGGGAUGUAAGUGGCUGAUAUUUCAGAACUUCAAAACCCCUUUCUUUUCUGCCAUUUUCGGUGGAGGAGAAGAGAAAAAUGAUAGCUUUUU
rnacentral:lncRNA from 1 species